rnacentral:rRNA from 1 species
CCAUCCUCCAAGGCUAAAUACUACUGACUGACCGAUAGUGAACCAGUACCGUGAGGGAAAGGCGAAAAGAACCCCGGAGAGGGGAGUGAAAUAGAACCUGAAACCGUAUGCGUACAAGCAGUGGGAGCCUACUUUGUUAGGUGACUGCGUACCUUUUGUAUAAUGGGUCAGCGACUUAUAUUCAGUGGCGAGCUUAACCGAAUAGGGGAGGCGUAGCGAAAGCGAGUCUUAAUAGGGCGUUUAGUCGCUGGGUAUAGACCCGAAACCGGGCGAUCUAUCCAUGGGCAGGUUGAAGGUUAGGUAACACUGACUGGAGGACCGAACCGACUACCGUUGAAAAGUUAGCGGAUGACCUGUGGAUCGGAGUGAAAGGCUAAUCAAGCUCGGAGAUAGCUGGUUCUCCUCGAAAGCUAUUUAGGUAGCGCCUCAUGUAUCACUGUAGGGGGUAGAGCACUGUUUCGGCUAGGGGGUCAUCCCGACUUACCAAACCGAUGCAAACUCCGAAUACCUACAAGUGCCGAGCAUGGGAGACACACGGCGGGUGCUAACGUCCGUCGUGAAAAGGGAAACAACCCAGACCGUCAGCUAAGGUCCCAAAGUCAUGGUUAAGUGGGAAACGAUGUGGGAAGGCUUAGACAGCUAGGAGGUUGGCUUAGAAGCAGCCACCCUUUAAAGAAAGCGUAAUAGCUCACUAGUCGAGUCGGCCUGCG